rnacentral:rRNA from 1 species
AUGGAGCAGAUUGAGGUGGCCUUGCCUGAUGGUUUGGUUGGAGAGGUGCCUCCCUUCGUCCCCUCUUUAGUGAAGCUUGCUUCAGGGGGCACUACCAAUAUGAUGUCUUCUGGGUCCGAGGAACCACUUGGUGAUAUUGGCGUGCCAUCAACUACCUUGUUGGAUGAGUUCCUAAGCAGUUUCAGUUGCGCGGCACCGCGGUCCUUGCUCGAGGAACCGAUUCAUGUGCAGAUUGAAGGGGCAUCUUCUUGUUUCGAGAGGCGUAGUGGACGUUUGGAUAAGAAGAAUAGAAACAACAACAUUCCUACUGCCAAACGCGCUGAAUAUAGGUUGGCGGAGACUUAUGGGGAACUACCGAAGGGGAUGAAAUCUAAGAAAGGCUCCGAAGAGGAUGUGCAAGAGAAGAUGAACUCUUAUCUACGGAUGUACAAGAAACCCCCUACGCCGACAGCGACCCAGGCAAUUCGUGCAUUGGUGGAGGCCAAUGGUUGA